GGAUCUGUCUUUCAAGAAAAUAUCAUGUAGGAAAUUUUGGUACUAAUGGUUUACUUUUCUUCUCUCUACACAUCGUAAGUUUAAGACCUCAUGCCAAUGUUGUUCCUCAGAUUCUCGUACUAUCAUAUGUUGUCCUGUAUUCGUCCCUUUUGAAGGUUUUGUUUUCUUGUAAUGGAAAGCUCUUCAUUUUUAUACUCCUUCUGCAUUGAAAAUAUUUAUACAAUCACAUCAAUGUUAUGUUUUCUGAAGUUGAUAACUGCACUGCGACUCUGUGGGAGAAUAUUCAUAUUCUUAGGAAAUAUAUAAUGAAAAUAUUUAGAGAAAAAAUCAUAAGGUGUGCAACUGAUGAAUUAAAGAGAGAAAAAGUGAUGAAGUCAAAGUGUUAUAAUGUUAAUAGGCGAAUAUAGAUAAAGGGUAUAUGAGUGUUAAUUGCACCAUUUUUAUUCAUGCUACUCUUCUGUAAAUUUGAAAUUACUGAAAAAUAAAGAGUAAAGUAUCAGUCUUUCUCAGUUUCUUUGAGUUCUUACUUUCUGCUGGGUGGCAAUUUAAGUGAUGUAUCAUAGAAGUCAUGCUCAUUUUAAUGUGGUGGAUCAUUACUGUGACAAUCCUGUCAUCUGCCAACAUAUACUGAGGGCUGUGUUGUUCUUCAUGGUCCAAUCUUGAAGGCAUCCAGUGAGUGUUUUACCUCUCUGAGAUUGUUAGUAACUUGUGGUAGACUGAGUAUCCAAGAUCACAUAAGGUACUGUGGGAAAAAUAUUAACCCCGUGUGUAAGCCAGAUUUAGGGAAGUUUCCUUUCAUGAGGUGGUAUCUGAGAUGAUAUUUCAAAUAAGUAACUUAUUAAACAAAUAAGCAGAGGAAGAACAUCAAACAUUCAAUUCUUUAUUCAGCCAAUAUUUCUUAUACAAUGUUAUAAUAAAAAUAAUAGCUCCUAGCUAAAUGAGUUUAAACUCAUAAUAAAAUAUGGCUACUGUCCCCAAGGAACUUGAAUUGUAGGCAUAGUUUGUGCAAAUAGGUGUAUCAAAUACAUAAAUUGUUUUGAUGCUCAUGUGGAAAAGGCACAGCUCAUUAGGAAGCAUUGGCUCUACCUUUGACAUGCAAAUUCAGCCAACCAAGGGGGCUGAGAGAAGACCCUGGAGAUGAGUGCGAAAUGGUGACUAGACGUUGCCAUCAGAUGAGUACACUAGAUAUGACACAAAAACAUGUGUAACAAUAAAAUAAGGAUUAAUUGGACUUCAUCAAAAUUAUACUCUAUAUCAGAAGAGAUUAGUAAACACUUAAUUAUAACAUCAAGUCUGGAGAGAAAGAAAGCAUCAAAUAUAAACGUAACCAUCUUAACUUGGUAAGAAACCUACAAUACAAAAAGAGAUAACUUGUGACAAGAAAAACAGAAGGAGAAGAGAAAAUGACAGAACCUACAAAGGUCAAUGCAGAAAAAAUGCUAUAAGCAUGAAAAAACUGUCUCAUUUAUAACAUCUUUUAUGCAAACCUUAUGGUAACUAUAAAAUAAAAAAUUAGAGCAGAGUCACAAAACAUAAAAAAGAGGAACCUGAGAAACAUAUCACAGAAAACCACCAAAGUGAAGUGGCAGACAGAAAUACAAGGAAAAUGAAUGAAUAGAAAAGCAAGGAAACAAAAGAUAAAAGACAGUAUGAAGCCCACAUAUAUCCAUAAUCACUCUAAAUGUAAAUGGAUUGAAUUUACCAAUCAAAAGACAGAGAGAGUUGGAGGGACUAAUAUAUGAGAGCCAACAAUAUGCCACCUCUGGGAAACGUAUCUCAGCUAUACAGGCAAACACAAGCUCAGAGUGAAGGGAUAAAAGAUGAUACCCCAGGAAAUGGCAAACAAAAGAAAGCAGGUGUAGCCAUACUUGUAUCAGACAAAAUAGACUUCAAGACAAAAGAUAGAAAGAAACAAAAAUGAGCAUUAAACAAUGAUAAAUAAAGACAUUCCACAAAAAUGACAUAACAUUUAUUAAUAUAUGUGCACCUAACAUAGGAGCAAUAAAAUAUACAAAGCAACUAAAGAGAACAAAAGGGAGAAAUUCACAGCAACACUAUAAUAGUAGGGGACAUUAGCAUCCCAGUUACAUCUAUGAAUAGAUUGUCUAGAUAGAAAGUCAACGAGAAAGCACUGGUCUUAAAUGAAACACUAGACCAGAUGGACUUAAUAAAUACCUAUGGAAUAUUCCAUCCAAAAGCAGCAGAUACAUAUUCUUCUCAAGCACACAUGGGACAUUCUCAAAGAUACGCUGUAUGUUGGAGGAAAAAGCAAGUCUCAAUAAAUUCAAGAAGAUUGAAAUCCUAAGAUUGUUUACUGAUCACAAUGAUAUGAAACAAGAAAUCAACUACAAGAAGAAAGCUGGAAAAGUCACAAAUAUGUGGAGAUUAAAAAUACGAUACUGAAAAACCACUGGAUGAAUGAAGAAAUCACAGGAGAAGUUACAAAAUACUUGGAGACAAACAAAAAUUAAAAUAUAGCAUAUCAAACCUUAUGGGAUACAGCAAAAGCAGUACUAAAAGGGAAGUACAUAGAAAUGCAGGGCUACCUCAAGAAACAAGAAAAAUCUCCAGUAAACAAUCUAACAUUACUAAUUACCUGAAAGAACUGGAAAAGAAGAACAAACAAAACCCAAAGUCAGUAGAAGGAAGAAAAUAAUAAGAAUCAGAUAAGAAAUUAUAGAAAUAGACACUAAAAAGACAAUAGAAGUGAUUAAUCAAACUAAAAGCUCAUUCUUUGAAAAGGGAAACAAAACUGACAAACCUUUAUCUGAACUCACAAAGUAAAAGAGAAAGAAGGCUGAAAUAAAAUCAAAAAUAAAAGAGGAGAAAUUACCAUAAAUACCACAGAAAUGCAAAGGAAUAUGAGAAUACUUUCAAAAACUAUCCACCAACAAAGUGAGUAACCUGUAAGAAGUAGGUAAAUUCUUAGAAUCAUACAAACUCCCAAAACUGAAUCAAGAAGAAAUAGAGAAUAUGAAUAGACCAAUCACAAGUGAACAUAUUGAAACUAUAAUCAAAAACCUCCCAAAGUACGAAACCCCAGGAUGAGGUGCAUUCCAUAUAUUCAAAGAAGAUUUAAUAGUCAUCCUUCAAAAAAUAUUGCAAAAAUUGCAGAGGAUGGAACACUUUCAAACUCAUUUUAUGAGACCAACAUUAUCCUGAUACCAAAACCAGACAAGGACAACACAAAACAGGAAAAUUACAGGCCAAUAUCACUGAUGAACAUAGAUGAAAAAAUCCUGAACGAAAUAUUAGCAAAUCCAAUACUACCAUACAUUAAAAGGAUCUUAUACCACGAUCAAGUAGGAUUUAUUCCAGGGACACAGGGAUAGUUCAACAUCUACAAGUUAAUCGAUGUGAUACAUCGCAUUAAUAAAAGGAGAAUAAAAAUCAUAUGAUCAUCUCAAUAGACAGAAAGAAAACAUUUGACAGAAUUCAACAUUCACUUAAGAUAAAAACUCUGAAUGACAUGGCUAUACAAGGAAAGUAAUUUAACAUAAUAAAGGCCAUAUAUGACAAACCCAUGGCCCAUACACUCAAUGGUGAAAAAAUGAAAACUAUCCCUUUAAGAACAAUAAAAAGUCAAGGAUGCCCUCCCUUGUCACACUUAGUCAUUAUGGAAUUUGAAGUCCUAGCCAUAACAAUUAAGCAAGAAAAGGAAAUAAAAUGGAUCCAAGUUGGAAAGAAAGAAAUAAAACAGUUACUAUUGAAGAUAACAUGAUUGUAUAUAGAAAAUCCUAAAGAAUGUACAAAAAAAAUGAUUAGAAAUAAUAAACAAAUAAAGUAAAGUUGCAAGGUACAAAAUCAACAUGUAAAAUCAGUUGCGUUUCUAUAGACUGAUAAGAAACUAGUAGGAAGAGAGAUCAAGAAUACAAUCUCCUUUACAUUCAUAACAAAAUGAAUAAAAUAGAAUAAAUUUACCCAAGGAGAUGAAAGACCUAUGCACUGAAAAACAUAAGACAUUAUGGAAAGAAAUCAAAGAAGAUAUGAAGAAAUGGAAAGAUGUUCCCUGCUCUUGGAUUGGAAGAUUUAACAAGGUUAAAAUGCCCAUAUUACUUAAAGCAAUCUACAUAUUGUGUGCAAUCCCAAUCAGAAGCCAAUGGCAUUUUUCACAGUAGAACAAAGAAUCCUAAAAUUCAUAUGAAACAGCAAAAAAUCUUGAAUAGCCAAAACAAUCCUGUGGGAAAACAACAAAGCUUGAGGUAGCACACUCCCUGAAUUCAAAAUAUGCUUCCAAGCUGUAGUAAUCAAGACAGCACGAUUCUGGGGGGAAGGCAAGCAAAUAGAUCAAUGGGACAGAAUUCAAAGCUCAGAAAUAAAACCACACAACUAUGAACAGCUAAUCUUUGACAAAGGAGCCAAGAACGUACCAUGGAUAACAGACAGUCUCUUCAAUAAAUGGUGUUAGGAAAGUUGGACAGCCACAUGAAAAAGAAUGAGUGUACACUAUUAUCUUAGAAUAUACAUGACAAUUAUCUCAAAAUGGAUUAAAGCCUUUAAUGUAAGACCUGAAACCAUAAAGCCCCUAGAAGACAACAUAGGCCAUAUGCUGUUUGACAUUGGUCUUUUUGUUUGUGUGUGAGGAAGAGUGGCCCUGAUCUAAUGUCUGUUGGUAAUCUUCCUUUACUUUAUGUGGGAUGCCCCCAGAGCAUGGCUUGAUGAGUGGUGCUAGGUCCACACCCAGGAUCCGAACCUGCGAACCCCCAGGCUGCUGAAGUAGAAUGUGUGAAGUUAGCCACUACACCACAGGACUGGCCCCUGACAUUGGUCUCAGCAGAGUCCUUUUGAAUACAACAACUAGUGCAGCCACUAUGGGAAGCAGUAUGGAGUAUCCUCAGAAAAUUAAGAAUAGAUCUACCAUGUGAUCCCGCUAUUCCACUGCUGGGUAUUUAUCCAGAGAACUUGAAGAUACUUGCACCCCUAUGUUCAUCACGGCAAUAUACACAAUAGCCAAAACAUAGAAGCAACCUAGGUGCCCAUCAAGGGUCGAAUGGAUAAAGAAGAUGUGGUAUUUCUACACGAUGGAAUACUACUCACCAGUAAGAAAUGAUGAAAUCCAGCCACUUGUCACAGCAUGGAUGGACCUUGAAGGUAUUAUGCGGAGUGAAAUAAGUCAGAAGGAGAAAGUCAAAUACUGUAUGAUCUCACUCAUAAGUAGAAGAUAAAAACAACUAAAAACAAACACAUAGCAUUGGAGAUUGGAUUGGUGGUUACCAUAGGGAGAAAGAGAGGAGGGCAAAAGGGGUGAUUAGGCUCACAUGUGAAGGGAUGAACUAUAAUUAGUUUUUGGGUGGUGAACAUGAUGUAAUCUACACAGAAUUUGAAAUAUAUUAUGAUGUACAUCUGAAAAUAAAUAAAUUAAUUUUAAAAGAUACUUAGUAUUAAUAAAAUAUUAAAUUUAUUGACACUGCUUUCAUGUUAAUAUGUGAUCCAUCCUGGAGAAUGUUCCCUUUGCAUUUGAAAAGAGUGUGCAUUCUGUGGUUUUUGGACGGAAUGUUCUGUAUAUAUCUACUAAGUCCAUCUAUCGAAUGUGUCAUUUAAGCCCAAUGUUUCCUUAUAGAGCUUCUGUUCAGAUGAUCUAUGCAUUGAUUUAAGUGGAAUGUUAAAGUCCCUCACUAUUAUUGUUACCAUUUCUCCUUUUAUGUCUGUUAAUAAUUGCUUUAUAUAUUUAGGUGCUGCUAUGUUGGGUGCAUAUAUGUUUAUAAGUGUUAUGUCUUCUUGUUGGAUCUUUUCCUUUAUCAUUAUGCACUGACCUUCUUUGUCUGUUCUUAUAUUUUUUGUUUUAAAGUCUCUUUUGUCCGCUAUAAUUAUUGCCACCUCAGUUUUCUUUUCAUUAGCAUUUUCAUGGUGUUUCUUUUUCCAUCUCUUCACUUUCAGUUUGAGAGUGUUUUCAGGUUUGAAGUGUGUCUUUUAUAUGCAGCACAUACAUGGGUCUUGAUUUUUUAUCCAUUCAGUCACCGUAUGUCUUUUUUGGAGUAUUUAUCCCAUUUACAUUUAAAAUAAUUAUUUUUAAGAGUAUACUUCUCACCAUUUUAUUACAUAUUUUUCUGAGUGUUGUAAUAGUUAUCUGUUCCUUUCUUCUCCUCUUGCUGUCUUCCCUUGUGAUUUGAUGGAUGUCUUUCAUAUUACAUUUGCAUUCUUUCUCAAUUUGUUUAGUAUUUAUUAUACGUUUCUGUUUGUGAUUAUGAUGAGGUUCAUGCAUAAUAACCUAUGAAAAUAGCGAUCUAUAUUGAUGGUCUCUUAAAAUAGGCCUAUUAUGAAAAACUCUACAUUCUUACUCCCCUCCCCCAAGAUUUUAUGCUUUUGACGUCAUAUUUAACCUCUCUUUUUCUGUAUUUAUCCCUUAAUCUCUUAUCAUGGAAAUAGAUAAUUUUACUACUUUUUGUCUUUUGAUCUUCAUAUUAGCUUUAUAGGUGGUUUAACUACUACCUUUAGUGUAUAUUUGCCUUUACUAGUGAUUUUUUCCUUUGAUAAUUUUCUUAUUCCUAUUUGUCAUCUUUUGUUUUUCACUUGAAUAAAUUCCUUUAGCAUUUUGUGUAAGGCUGGCUUAGUGGUGACAAACUCCUAUAGGUUUUGCUUCUCUGGACAACUAUUUAUGUCUCCUUCAGUUUUGAAAGAUAAAUUUAUUGGGUAUAGUGUUCUUGGUUGUAGGUUUCCUCCUUUCAGCACUUUAAAUAUACUGUGCUGCUCUCUUCUAGCCUCUAAGUUUACUUCUGAGAAGUCAGAUUAUAUACUUAUGGGGUUUCUUUUGUAUGUAUCUUUUUUACUUUCCCUUGCAGCUUUUAGGAUUCUCUGUCUUUAAUUCUGGACAUUUUAAUUAUAAUUUGUCCUGAUGUGGACCUUUCUGUAUUCAUCUUUUUUGAUGUUCUCUGCACUUCCUGGCCUGGAUAUCUGUUUUCUUCCUUACGUUAGGGAAUUUUUCAGCUAUUAUUUCUUCAUGUAGGUUCUCUGCCCCUUUGUCUCUCUAUUCUCCUUCUGGAACACCUAUAAUACAGAUGUUAGUGUGCUUGAUGCUGUCCCACAGGUCCCUUAGACUAUUUUUCAUUCUUUUUAAUUCUUUUUUUACUUUUUCUUUUCAGCUUGGGUGAUUUCCUCCACUCUCUAAUAAGCUCACUGAUGUAUUCUUUUGUGUCAUCUACUCUGUUAUUGACUUCUUCUAAUGAAUUUUUUCAAUUAUAAUAUUCUUCAGUUCUGAUUUGUUGUUUUUAUAUUUUCCACUUCUUUGUUGAAGUUCUCACUGUUUUCACCCAUUCUUCUCCCAAGAUCAUUUAGCAUCCUUAUGAGUAUUAGUUUGUACUCUUUAUCAGGUAGAUUGUUUAUCUCUGUUUCAUUUAUUUCUUUUUCUGAGGAUUUUCCUGUUUCUUUUUCAGAAUAUAUUCCUUUGUAUUCUCACUUUACCUACUUCUCUGUGCUUAUAUCUAUGUAUUAGAUGGAUCAGCUCCCAAUAUGUCCUUAUAUAAGAGAUACAUUAUGGAGCCCAGUAAUUUGAUUCCAUCUUGUCACCAGUUCCUAAUGUUUCAGGAGUUUCCCCUGCAAAGGCUACAUGUGUCCUUCUGUUGUGGCACAGUUACUCUUGCUGUGGAUUCUGGCCCCCAGGCUGGCGGGUUGUAAUUCUAAGCUGUGUGCAGGUCCUAUGGUCACUUUAUUCACAUCAUUGGGUGGGGAAAGCCCCAGCACAGCUGCCUUCAAGGUCUAAUAGCACAUAACUGCUGCUGUUUUGCUGUUAAGUGAGUCAGACACUCAGCAUGGUUGGUUGCUAGACUCAGGGGCUCACAAUUGCUGUAGGCCUCUGGUCUCAGAGGCUGUUGUCAGGUUUGUCAGGUGUGCAGCUGGGUGGAGCUGUUCCUAGGCAUGGCAUCACAAAAUCAUUUCAGGUGUUGGAGUGUGGGGCAGAUACCCUGUGUGGCUGUUUGAGAUGGCCAAUGGCACAAGUCUGCUGCCACUGACAACCCCCACCACCUAUGGGUCCACACAUCCAACCAAUGCAGUCCUGUCUUACGUGCAUUUCCUGCCAUGCCAAUACUGAUUCACUCAACUCACUGCAGAAGUCCUGUACGCCCCACCUACAUGGUCGCAUAAGUUCCCUGCAGGCCUUCUGGUGAGCAGGACCAGUCCUCCAGGUGGUCUGCCUGCCCUGGCUGAACUGGAUUAAAUCGGUGCUCUAAUGGCUGCAGCAAAUCCCUGCACAAACAGGAGACGAAGGAAUCCAAUGGCAUCUGCUAGUGUCUGUAUCAGCAUGCUUGUAUUACAUCACAAUAAUAGCUGUUGCCAAUGUCUCAGUCGCUGUGUAGGUGGGCCCAGCUGUAGCCUGCCUCUUGGAGAUGUGCUCAGGGGUUAUCAAGUCUCUUUUACCAAAAGACUAUGCACCUUUCUUUCUGGUGAUUUGUGUUGGUUUCAGGAAUGGGUCAACCUGUGCAUAGCCCCUCUAAGAGCAGACUUUACUUUCUCUUAUGUUCAAUAGCUUUUCUGGGGGUAUCCUGAUUGGUUUUAAUAGCCAGCAAAGCCACGUAUUGUGGCAUUCAUCUCAGUUGUGCUUAAGUCAAAGGCUGCUUAUUGUGGCAGAGCGCUCCUGCUCAGUUCCACAACUCCUCCAGGAAAGGCUUUGUAUCUUAAGUUUGCUCCUGGCCAUGAGUACUGUGGCUAGAAUGUGGUUUAUUCCUCAGCAGAGGGAUAUUUCUGUCUCUUGCACGUCUGUCAGUAUUGCCCCUUGCUGUGGAGGUUCUUUUUAUCCAGUUUCCUGUUCUCUCUGAAAGGUAAUUGUUCCAUUGAUAGUUGUAGAUUUGUUAUAUCCCCAGGAUGAGGUGAAUUCAGAGGCCUCCUAUGCCACUAUCUUUCCAACAAUCUCCUAUUUGUUAGAAAAUUUUUGAUUCAAUCAUCUUGAUUGUUAUUGGUCUGUUCAGGGUUUCUAUUUCUUAUUGAUUUAAUCAUGGUAGGUUAUAUGCUUCUAGGAAUUUAUCUAUUUCUUCUAAGUUAUCCAGUUUGCUGGUGCAUAAUUCUUUAUAAUAGUCUCUAAUGAUUCUUAAUAUUUCUGUCACCUCAUGAAAUUUCUCCUCCUUCAUUUGUUUUCAUUUAUUUGAGCCUGCUUUUAUUCUUACUCUAGCUAAGGCUUUAUUGAUUUUGUUUAACUUUAAAAAAAUCUUAUUUUCAUUGAUUCUUCUAUUGUUUUUCUUUUCUCUAUUUUAGUUAUUUCUUCUCUAGUCUUUACUAUUUCCUUUAUUCUGCUAUUUUUUGGGUUUAUUUAGUUAAUAUGUAUUCCACUACUGUUGAGUGAAAAGUUCUGUGUAUGUCUGUUAGCUCAAUUUCACUUUUUGGGUUGUCUAAUUCAGCUGUUUCUUUAUUGUUUUUCUGCCUGGAUGUUCUAUCCAAUAUUGAAAUGGGAGUAUUGAAGCAUCCUAAUAUUAUUAUAUUUUGCUCUCUUUUUCCCUCAGUCAUAUUAUUUUUUAUUUAUUUAUGAGCUUUGCUGUUCGAUGCAUAUAUAUUUAUAAUUAUGUUUACUUGAUGAAUUGAUCCUUUUAUCAUUAUAUCAUGUUCUUCUUUUUCUCCUUUAACCAUUUCUGACAUAGAGACUCUUUUGUCAAAUAUAAAGUAUAGCCACAGCUCUUCCCUCUUAUUUAUUACUAGCAUUGGGUAUUUUUUUUGUGCCUUCAUUUUCCGACUUUUCACUUCCUUAAAUCUGAAGUUGUUUUUCUUAUAGAAAGCAUGUAGUAGAGUCUUACUCUUUUAAAAAGUCCAUUCAGCUGCUUUAUAUCUUUUGAUUGGAGAUUUUAGUCCAAAUAGACAAAGAAAUCAUUGAUAGGCAAUGACUUAUUAUUGCCAUUUUGUUAUUUAUUGUGAAAGUGUCUUGCAAUUGUUACUCUAUUCCUCUCUUGCUGUUUUGCUUUCCAUUUUGUUAAUUGUUGUACUCAUAUUCUUUGAUUCCUUUCCACUUUUCUGUUUUGUAUCAUCUAUAGGUGUUUUUAUGUGUGGUUACUGUGAGACUUACAUAAAGUAUCUUAAUAUUACAAUAGUAUAUUUUAGUGGUGACAUCUUAACAUCAACCACAUCUACAUUUUUACUUCACCCCUCACAUUUUACAAUAAUUUUAUGUUAUUGAUGUCACAAUUUAUAUAUAUUUAUGCUAUCUCUAUUAAGCAACUUUCACAGUUAUAGUUAUUCUUAAAAUUUUUGUCUUUUAAUGUUUACACUAAAAUUAAGAGAAAUCUAUACACUGUGAUUAAAUUAAUUUAUGCAUUGUGGUUUACUACUUUAGUAAAGUAUUCUGCAUUUGUAUACAUAUGUAACUACAUAAAAUGUUUUAUAAUUUCAUAUGUGUUCAUGUUGUUGUUUAUUGUCUUUUCCUUUAAAUGUGAAGACCCUUUAGCAUUUGUUGUAAGUCAGGUCAGGUGGUGACAAACUCUCUCAGGUUUUAUUUGAGUAGAAAUGUGUUUAUAUCAUCUCUGUUUUAAAAAGAUACUUUUUAUGGGUAUCGAAUUCUUCAUUUGUGAUUUUUUCAUUCAGCAUUUUGAAUAUAUCAUCUCACACUCUUCUGUUCUGCAAAGUUUCCACUGAGAAAUGCAAGGAGUGGUAAUUUAGGGCUCUGGUUUGGAGCAGAUUUGUUUCUGGGUGACCUACUUCCUUUUUUCUAAGUGACACUAUUUUUCUUCUUUCUGUUCUUUGUCAUCCUCUCCACUAUUUAUUUUUUUAUUCUUCUUUUUCCCUGGUAGUUUUGGUCAGUUUGAAGAAUCUAACAAUUCUGAAUCUUUGUAUGUGGUUAACAAGCAUGAGGCAGAUUAAUUUGCUAUUCUUGUAGGCUGAACAGACAAAUCAAAAUUUAAGUUUAUUACAUGUGGGAUGUUUAUGACUAACAAAAUAAGGAAAACUUUAGAGAAUAAUACUUUCCAGGAGGCUAACAACUUACAUCAUUAUUUUUUAAAAUAUUCCACCUGGAAUGCAGGCAAUACUUUUUCAGUGUUCUAUGAGAAUGCCACUAUCAAAAAAGAAUGGUCAGACUUUACACUAAUUCAGACAGUCUUCUAACAGAUAAUUUACAUCUUUUUACACACAGAUGCAUCAUUAUAAAGUAAUCUAAAAUAAUUUUCUAAUAUAUUUUUAUAUUUAUUUUAACUAUACUGUUUCCACAUACAGUGAGAAAGGAACAGAAAAAAGAACUUAGUUUUUAUGAGAUUUGCUGCUAAUAUAAGAAAUAAAUAGAAUAAAUAUAAUUGUUGAGGAAAAAUGAUCAUUUGAACUCAAUAAAUCUUGUAUGACCACCACAUCUGUGAAAAGGCAUCAUGUGAAAAGCAGUAUAGGGAUAGAGGAAUGUAUUUCCUGAGUUAAGGUUUAUUACAGUUUCUAGAGAUGGCAGAAUGCAGAAAAUUUAACACAUGAUUUUGAUGUAAGGUAGUGUGACAAGAUGAAUCCUCACUAAGAGACUUGGAUUCUAGAAAGUUAGAAAUGACGUGCCUGGUUAGAAAUUCUAGGAAAGGUUAAUGGAGGUAGUGACCUACAGGUGACUUCUGGAGAAUGCCGACUUUUCCAUCUCCAAAGACAACUUUCAAUAGAGUUUCUGUAUCAGGAUAUAAGAUUACUACCCCCUGUAUGCUUCCAAUAUGAUACCAUAAGAAUAUAAUUUGCAAUUUACACAUUUCUGAGAUUUAAUUUAAAAGCUGACUACUUCUCAGAGAAAGCUCAGAAAUUAUGACAAUGAGGAGGCUAAAAACUGAAAGAUAACUUGCCAAUAUGUGAGAGGGGAGUUACUGAAGAUAUUUUGGGUAAAAAUCUUCCAUUUUCAUCAACAUUUGUCCCUGUCCAAUGUUGUUCCACAUGUGAUAUUAUCUACUUCCCUCUCCACAAGAUUCCUGCUCUCUUUAGAAGAUUUGAAAAGAGGAACAAAUAAAUAUUAAUUUCAUGUAAGUUGAGACAAACAGAUAUAGAAAACAUAAGUAGUGGGUAUGAGAUUCAUGAUGAAAUUUUGGUUCUCAGUUAAAGCUGUUUCCAGGCCAUCUCCUGAACAGAUAAGCAGAAAUUACGUGAGUCAGUACCCAGAGUGAGGAGCUCAGAAGAAUAAAUUGCAUUACUCUUUUCUUUGGGCAUUUAAGGGGUAAGGAAUCUCAGGGCAACUUGCUAACAUUCUCACAGAAUAUGGUAAAUUCUGUGUAGAAAUAAAGUAAGUAUAGGGAUUCUGCCAAAGAUAGAAAGCUAGUGUAGCUCAACUAGGGAGGCGUGGAUGGUUGAACAGACAGUACCCAAGUGUUUCCCACUGUAGCAUCUGCAGUAAAACAGAAACACAGAAGGAGCCACCUAACAACUUGUAUUUCACCAUCAUCAAUUCUUCACGUUUUCCCACCUGCUUUUUUUU
rnacentral:lncRNA from 1 species